UUAUAACUUAUUCAGAUAUAUUCUAUUGGCAUUUAAGACAUAAAAAUGUAUUCUACCACAAUAUUAAGGUGUAAACUGUUUUAUAUUGUUUAUUCAGAGUGCUUAUAUUCAAGUGAUCUCCUUAAUAAUGUAUUUCCCUUCUCUUUUAGUGACACAGCAUGUACAGUUUGAUGGCCAGCACUAUGGUUACCUCUGCUUCUGUGAAUCAUUUUGUGACAGACAAGCAAUAUGCAUCCACUGACACAGAGGACAAUUACUGCAAUGUGUGCUUCACAAUGAAGUUACUCCGUACUUAGUAGCGACAAGUUAAAUUGUGCAUACAAUCCAGUCAUGUAACUGUAAACAUUUUUGAAAUACUGCACCAAUAACAUGUUCGAAUGCCAUUUUAUGUGAGAAGUUGUUUAUUUUUGAGGUGCUUAAUAAAAAAUACCAUGACACACUG